UUGAACGCUGGCGGCAGGCCUAACACAUGCAAGUCGAGCGGUAGAGAGAAGCUUGCUUCUCUUGAGAGCGGCGGACGGGUGAGUAAUGCCUAGGAAUCUGCCUGGUAGUGGGGGAUAACGUUCGGAAACGGACGCUAAUACCGCAUACGUCCUACGGGAGAAAGCAGGGGACCUUCGGGCCUUGCGCUAUCAGAUGAGCCUAGGUCGGAUUAGCUAGUUGGUGAGGUAAUGGCUCACCAAGGCGACGAUCCGUAACUGGUCUGAGAGGAUGAUCAGUCACACUGGAACUGAGACACGGUCCAGACUCCUACGGGAGGCAGCAGUGGGGAAUAUUGGACAAUGGGCGAAAGCCUGAUCCAGCCAUGCCGCGUGUGUGAAGAAGGUCUUCGGAUUGUAAAGCACUUUAAGUUGGGAGGAAGGGUUGUAGAUUAAUACUCUGCAAUUUUGACGUUACCGACAGAAUAAGCACCGGCUAACUCUGUGCCAGCAGCCGCGGUAAUACAGAGGGUGCAAGCGUUAAUCGGAAUUACUGGGCGUAAAGCGCGCGUAGGUGGUUUGUUAAGUUGGAUGUGAAAUCCCCGGGCUCAACCUGGGAACUGCAUUCAAAACUGACUGACUAGAGUAUGGUAGAGGGUGGUGGAAUUUCCUGUGUAGCGGUGAAAUGCGUAGAUAUAGGAAGGAACACCAGUGGCGAAGGCGACCACCUGGACCAAUACUGCACUGAGGUGCGAAAGCGUGGGGAGCAAACAGGAUUAGAUACCCUGGUAGUCCACGCCGUAAACGAUGUCAACUAGCCGUUGGAAGCCUUGAGCUUUUAGUGCCUCAGCUAACGCAUUAAGUUGACCGCCUGGGGAGUACGGCCGCAAAGUUAAAACUCAAAUGAAUUGACGGGGGCCCGCCAAGCCGGUGGAGCAUGUGGUUUUAUUCGAAGCAACGCGAAGACCUUUACAAGGCCUUGACAUCCAAUGAACUUUCUAGAGAUAGAUUGGUGCCUUCGGGAACAUUGAGACAGGUGCUGCAUGGCUGUCGUCAGCUCGUGUCGUGAGAUGUUGGGUUAAGUCCCGUAACGAGCGCAACCCUUGUCCUUAGUUACCAGCACGUUAUGGUGGGCACUCUAAGGAGACUGCCGGUGACAAACCGGAGGAAGGUGGGGAUGACGUCAAGUCAUCAUGGCCCUUACGGCCUGGGCUACACACGUGCUACAAUGGUCGGUACAGAGGGUUGCCAAGCCGCGAGGUGGAGCUAAUCCCAUAAAACCGAUCGUAGUCCGGAUCGCAGUCUGCAACUCGCUGCGUGAAGUCGGAAUCGCUAGUAAUCGCGAAUCAGAAUGUCGCGGUGAAUACGUUCCCGGGCCUUGUACACACCGCCCGUCACACCAUGGGAGUGGGUUGCACCAGAAGUAGCUAGUCUAACCUUCGGGAGGACGGUUACCACGGUGUGAUUCAUGACUGGGGUGAAGUCGUAACAAGGUAGCCGUAGGGGAACCUG
rnacentral:rRNA from 1 species